GCAUCAUCUCAUCUAGUGGUAAACAGCGCUCUCAAUUGUUCUCUCUUUUCUAAGGAGUAUAUGAGACUGACAGGACAGGAGAGUGUCAGCACUCAGGUGCUUUAUUGCAGAGGCUAGUCUGCUUAGUGGGGGACUCUCUGGGAGGGAUAGCACAGCAGCAGAGAGUGAGGUGCUCAUUACCCAUAAAAAUUCCCUGUAUGGUAACUGUUGAGUUGCAGUCUGAACCACUGAUUGAGCACCUGGGGAAAGGAACCGGUCAGCCCUGGGAGCACAGGUGAAGGCAAUUCAUCUGUAUGACCAGAAGGGGUGGAGCCUGGCUGCACCUCUCUUAGACCUCAUUUAAGGGCUGACUGGCACUGGGGGAGUAUCUCUGGUUGGAUAUACCUUCCUUGUGGAGUUUUCCCUUUGAGCUUAGAUCUUCAGAGACAGUUUCUUAGUUAAGGGAGGUCUGAGUGAAGUCUGAAUAAGACACGGUGUGUUCCUACUGCAAGGUUGGAUCAAAGAGAAAAUCCUAUCGUGUUCAACAGUAGUCUGGCCCAGAACCUCUCUGCAGCAAUCUACAGACAGAAAUGGGACUUGAGUGGUGGGGAAGUUUUUUUUGUGGGCAAUCUGCCCGACAGGGCUGAAGAGCUGUCAAGACUGUGGUGAGAAAGGCAGGCAUUACGUGCAAAUUUCAGGCAGAACAAGAAGUACGACUCAGCUGCUUGUGGCCACAAGCAUGAGACAUGAGAUACAGCUAAGGUGCUCUGUGGAGGGGCCUAUCCAUGGGAGUCUGAACUGCCCACACCAAGGCAAAGGGGGAGGUGAGUGACUCAUGCUCCUGAUAAAUUUGGAGGAAUUUUGACUUGGACUAAACCCAAGUGCCUUGUACUUUGGACUGUUUGGAUUCCAACCUGGAUCUGAGCUAAGCAGCUCACACCUUUUCUAACAAAG
ensembl:lncRNA